AGGACGAACGCUGGCGGCGUGCUUAACACAUGCAAGUCGAGCGGAAAGGCCCUUCGGGGUACUCGAGCGGCGAACGGGUGAGUAACACGUGAGGAACCUGCCCUGGACUUUGGGAUAACCCUCGGAAACGGGGGCUAAUACCGAAUACGACACGGUCUCGCAUGAGAUCCGUGUGGAAAGUUUUUCGGUCUGGGAUGGUCUCGCGGCCUAUCAGCUUGUUGGUGGGGUAAUGGCCUACCAAGGCGACGACGGGUA
rnacentral:rRNA from 1 species